CCUACGGGAUGCAGCAGUCGAGAAUCAUUCACAAUGGGGGAAACCCUGAUGGUGCGACGCCGCGUGGGGGAAUGAAGGUCUUCGGAUUGUAAACCCCUGUCAUGUGGGAGCAAAUUAAAAAGAUAGUACCACAAGAGGAAGAGACGGCUAACUCUGUGCCAGCAGCCGCGGUAAUACAGAGGUCUCAAGCGUUGUUCGGAAUCACUGGGCGUAAGGCGUGCGUAGGCUGUUUCGUAAGUCGUGUGUGAAAGGCGCGGGCUCAACCCGCGGACGGCACAUGAUACUGCGAGACUAGAGUAAUGGAGGGGGAACCGGAAUUCUCGGUGUAGCAGUGAAAUGCGUAGAUAUCGAGAGGAACACUCGUGGCGAAGGCGGGUUCCUGGACAUUAACUGACGCUGAGGCACGAAGGCCAGGGGAGCGAAAGGGAUUAGAUACCCGAGUAGUC
rnacentral:rRNA from 1 species